CCUACGGGAGGCAGCAGUGGGGAAUAUUGGGCAAUGGGCGCAAGCCUGACCCAGCAACGCCGCGUGAAGGAAGAAGGCUUUCGGGUCGUAAACUUCUUUUCUCAGGGACGAAGGAAGUGACGGUACCUUAGGAAUAAGUCACCGCUAACUACUUGCCAGCAGCCGCGGUAAUACGUAGGUGGCAAGCGUUAUCCGGAUUUAUUGGGUGUAAAGGGAGGGUAGGCGGGGAAGCAAGUCAGAUGUGAAAACCACGGGCUCAACCUGUGGCCUGCAUUUGAAACUGUGUUUCUUGAGUGCUGGAGAGGCAGACGGAAUGCCAAGUGUAGCGGUGAAAUGCGUAGAUAUUAGGAGGAACACCAGUGGCGAAGGCGGUCUGCUGGACAGCAACUGACGCUGAGGCGCGAAAGCGUGGGGAGCAAACAGGAUUAGAUACCCGUGUAGUC
rnacentral:rRNA from 1 species